CGCCAGACUCCUACGGAGGCAGCAGUGGGGGAUAUUGCACAAUGGGGGAAACCCUGAUGCAGCGACGCCGCGUGUGGGAAGACGGUCCUCUGGAUUGUAAACCACUGUCCCCAGGGACGAAGAUGACGGUACCUGGGGAGGAAGCUCCGGCUAACUACGUGCCAGCAGCCGCGGUAAUACGUAGGGAGCGAGCGUUGUCCGGAAUUACUGGGUGUAAAGGGAGCGUAGGCGGGACUGCAAGUUGGGUGUCAAAUCUACCGGCUCAACCGGUAGCCGCACUCAAAACUGCAGUUCUUGAGUGAAGUAGAGGCAGGCGGAAUUCCUAGUGUAGCGGUGAAAUGCGUAGAUAUUAGGAGGAACACCAGUGGCGAAGGCGACUAUCUGGCACAUAACUGACGCUGAGGAGCGAAAGCGUGGGUAGCAAACAGGAUUAGAUACCCCGGUAUG
rnacentral:rRNA from 1 species